CAGCCGCCGCGGUAAUACGGAGGGGGCUAGCGUUGUUCGGAAUUACUGGGCGUAAAGCGCACGUAAGCGGCUUGGUAAGUUAGAGGUGAAAGCCUGGAGCUCAACUCCAGAAUUGCCUUUAAGACUGCCGAGCUAGCAGGUGAGAGAGGUAAGUGGAAUUCCGAGUGUAGAGGUGAAAUUCGUAGAUAUUCGGAAGAACACCAGUGGCGAAGGCGGCUUACUGGCUCAUUCUAGACGCUGAGGUGCGAAAGCGUGGGGAGCAAACAGGAUUAGAUACCCCGGUAGUCCCUGUCUCUUAUAC
rnacentral:rRNA from 1 species